GAUGAACGCUGGCGGCGUGCCUAAUACAUGCAAGUCGAGCGAACAGAUAAGGAGCUUGCUCCUUUGACGUUAGCGGCGGACGGGUGAGUAACACGUGGGUAACCUACCUAUAAGACUGGGAUAACUUCGGGAAACCGGAGCUAAUACCGGAUAACAUUUGGAACCGCAUGGUUCUAAAGUGAAAGAUGGUUUUGCUAUCACUUAUAGAUGGACCCGCGCCGUAUUAGCUAGUUGGUAAGGUAACGGCUUACCAAGGCGACGAUAGGUAGCCGACCUGAGAGGGUGAUCGGCCACACUGGAACUGAGACACGGUCCAGACUCCUACGGGAGGCAGCAGUAGGGAAUCUUCCGCAAUGGGCGAAAGCCUGACGGAGCAACGCCGCGUGAGUGAUGAAGGGUUUCGGCUCGUAAAACUCUGUUAUUAGGGAAGAACAAACGUGUAAGUAACUGUGCACGUCUUGACGGUACCUAAUCAGAAAGCCACGGCUAACUACGU
rnacentral:rRNA from 1 species